CCUACGGGCGGCAGCAGUGGGGAAUAUUGGUCAAUGGACGCAAGUCUGACCCAGCAACGCCGCGUGAAGGAAGAAGGCCCUCGGGUUGUAAACUUCUUUUAAGGAGGAAGAGCAGGAGACGGUACCCCUUGAAUAAGCCACGGCUAACGACGUGCCAGUAGCCGCGGUAAUACGUAGGUGGCACGCGUUGUCCGGAUUUACUGGGUGUAAAGGGCGUGCAGCCGGGAAGACAAGUCAGAUGUGAAAUACCGGGGCUCAACCGCGGAACUGCUUUUGAAACUGUUUUUCUUGAGUGUCGGAGAGGUAGGCGGAAUUCCUGGUGUAGCGGUGAAAUGCGUAGAUAUCAGGAAGAACACCAGUGGCGAAGGCGGAUUACUGGACGACAACUGACGGUGAGGCGCGAAAGCGUGGGGAGCAAACAGGAUUAGAUACCCCAGUAGUC
rnacentral:rRNA from 1 species